AAGCAGAUUGAAUGGAGCGUCAAAUUGAAACUCAACUAUAUAUGAAGUGCAAACUGUGCUUUUGCCAAGAUGUCAAAUGGCCUGUUGGUUGCAGCAAGGACAAGGAUACCUUCACCUGGCUUUGUCAAGAGCCCAUCCCAUUGGAGAGACCUUGGCUGCCAAUGUGAACAAAGCUCGGAUGUUCUUCUCAUCUUCAC